rnacentral:rRNA from 1 species
UACGGGGGGGGGAAGCGUUGUUCGGAAUUACUGGGCGUAAAGGGCUCGUAGGCGGCCAACUAAGUCAGACGUGAAAUCCCUCAGCUUAACUGGGGAACUGCGUCUGAUACUGGAUGGCUUGGAUUCGGGAGAGGAAUGCGGAAUUCCAGGUGUAGCGGUGAAAUGCGUAGAUAUCGGGAGGAACACCGGUGGCGAAGGCGGCUCUCUAGACCACUACUGACGCUGAGGCGCGAAAGCUAGGGGAGCAAACAGG